GGCCCCAUGUCCAGAAGCUGAAGAGUUUGGGUCUCAUCAUCCAAAAGGCAUCUCCAGGGCAGCGAUUCAAUUUUGCUCCUUUCCCUCCUGUGCACCAAAAGCAUCUCCCAGGCGGUCCUGCAGCGCUCCCUUUGCCUCUUCUGAGAUGCCUCCUGAGAAAGCAAGAUGCAACGGUUGGUCUUUGGGAAGUGCAUCUAUGGCUUGGAGAAGAAUUGUGCUGCACCACCGCAUCUCCAACCCGCAUCCCAGAGAUAACGGGGAGCAUGGAGCUGGUGGUGGCCCCUUCAGGCGCCUGGAGUAAAUGCAGCAUCUCUAAAGGAUUGCUUUGGUUUCUGCUCAGAGCAGACAGAGCUGCACGAGGUUGGGACUUGUCGAGUUUCCUGGCUUUACAAGGUUCAGUUUGGGGUGCUGUGGUUUGAGGUGCAGGAGGGUGAGUGCCACAUGGGGAUGGUUUCUCUCCAAAUGCAAACAAUGCAAAGGGGGUAAAAAUAAAGAAAUUAAAAAUAAAAGUGAGACAAUAGUCCAGAGCAGUUGUUUCCAAACGCUGCUGC
rnacentral:lncRNA from 1 species